GGUUCCUCGGGUCCGAACCUACACAGGUGGACUCAAAUGAGGGACCAAACAUACUAGAACAUAUCUCUAAACUACUCCCCAAAAACCCCCUAAAACAUCAUGAAACAACCAUAGAAAAACAUGCAAAGGAGGCCUGGACAGGGCACUUUCGGCGGCAGGUUCGGCGGCCGAAAGUCCUUCCAGAGCCGAAAGUCAGGCAGGUUCGGCGGCACCUUCGGCGGCCGAAACUCCCAGACAGAGACGAAACUCAUGCAUGUUCG
rnacentral:lncRNA from 1 species